GAUGAACGCUGGCGGCGUGCCUAAUACAUGCAAGUCGAGCGAACAGACGAGGAGCUUGCUCCUCUGACGUUAGCGGCGGACGGGUGAGUAACACGUGGAUAACCUACCUAUAAGACUGGGAUAACUUCGGGAAACCGGAGCUAAUACCGGAUAAUAUAUUGAACCGCAUGGUUCAAUAGUGAAAGACGGUUUUGCUGUCACUUAUAGAUGGAUCCGCGCCGCAUUAGCUAGUUGGUAAGGUAACGGCUUACCAAGGCAACGAUGCGUAGCCGACCUGAGAGGGUGAUCGGCCACACUGGAACUGAGACACGGUCCAGACUCCUACGGGAGGCAGCAGUAGGGAAUCUUCCGCAAUGGGCGAAAGCCUGACGGAGCAACGCCGCGUGAGUGAUGAAGGUCUUCGGAUCGUAAAACUCUGUUGUUAGGGAAGAACAAAUGUGUAAGUAACUAUGCACGUCUUGACGGUACCUAAUCAGAAAGCCACGGCUAACUACGUG
rnacentral:rRNA from 1 species